UGAAUUUGAGCUUCUGGUACAAUAUGGAAGUCACUGCCCCAUCAACAUGAAUUCAUGGCCUACCCAAUAUGCAUUUAUAAGCUAGCUUAAUAUCCAUUAUCUGGAAAGUGAUAGUGAACUAAUGUGGCCCAACAUAGAUUGGUAAAUCAACCUCGUCAAUGACCUGUCUCCUAGAGCAAUCAAAGGCUCUCAUAACCAAUGC
rnacentral:lncRNA from 1 species